AAUCGAUAUAUUAAUGAACGAAAAUAAAUUUCUUAUUUAACUACUUCAACAAAAUAGUGUCCGAAUUUAUAGAAUUUAUUAGAUCACCAAACGGAACUUUUGAUUUGUCGGCUAUGUUUCCACACGGACACUAUAAGGACCUGCGCAUUAUGGCGGAUUUUGGUGCUUGAGUGAGACUCUGUGCAUCAGUAAACAUUUAGUGUUGAAAAGUAUUUUAGUUAGACUUUAUUUUUAUAUAAAUAUCUGAUAAAGUGAAGACGUGGUGAUUUCCGGAACUUUUCUUUAUGAAUUUCCUCCCAGAGCUGUUGUUUGGAUCAAUACCACCACCACCCUCAUAAAUCUUCCUUCUGAGGAUACUCCACACCUUCUCAAUAGGAUUGAGCCCAAAUCAUCACUCCACCUCCACCUCCUUGCUGACGUCACAGUCUUGGUGGAACACGGUGUCCAUUCAGCAGCCGUUCAGAACAUCCAUCCAUCUGGAACAUCCAGUGAAGCACGGCGUUCUCCAGCAAACACAGCUGUUUGAAAAUGAGUCUUGAUGUGUUAAAAUAGCAGACGAUUUGGUUACGCAUGACUGAAAUACAGAUACAAACUGCCAGCCUAUGAAGGAUCCUGCAUCCAGAGGUUCUCACGACUCCAGAAACAGCAGCAGCUUCAGAUAUCUGCUGCUCAGUAGUGGCUUUUUUUAUAGACGCCUUUUAAUACUAUUCAUUUCUCUGACAGAAAUCUUUCAGUGAGCUUUUAUCUGAUCGCAUUCUUCUGUGAAUCAGAAGAAAACACGUUUAUUUUGACUGAAAUGUUACAUAAUAAUUUGGAACACAGUGUGUGUGUGUGUGUGUGUGUGUGUGUGUGUGUGU